GGAGGUUACCCUGUGUUUUGGUGCAUUGAGAAUUUUCUAUUGAUGUUUGUUUAUUUUUACUGUUUGUGUUACAAAUCUCGUUUAGUUUGAUAACACUUUUGUUAUUGUCAAUGUUGUUAUUGUGUAUUGCAUGCUAUAAGGUUCAUUUAUUGUUUCAAAAGUUAGAUUUUUUAUUGAUGUUUCAGAAGAGUGGAAAAUGAACGGAUUCAUGGUUGUUGUAUUAAUGUGGGAAAUAUUAAGGGAUAAACCGGUAUAGACACUCACAAUCAUGCUCAAUAUCACUUUUACCAGAUUUGAAUUCCUGAGUGUUUCUCUUUGUUUUCUUUGGGAGUAUUACGUGUAUUGUUGUGACUGGUUAAUUUUAAUUUAAACUGGAUGAAGUUCUUCUCUUUUUUCUACCCUCUUUUGAUGGGGAAAAGUUUGUAUAUUUCAAUUUGAUUGAUUGCAAUAUGGUUAAUUUUAUAUUUCACGGUAAGUUGUAUAGUAUUUUUCGAAGGGUAAAGAUGAUUUUUUGUGGGUUUGUUUGAUACUUUUGAGGACUGAAUUCCCUUGAGGAGAAAUAAAAUCAGAGGGAUGUACAUAUCUGUUACCUAUUAUUGUUGUUUUUCUGCACUUUGUGUAAGCAUUGUGCCAUGUAGCAUCCAUUCUGAGUCUUAAUGUAAAGCCCAAGGUUUUAAAUAUUGGUUGCGCUGCAGUUUUGUUGCACAUUUUUCUACUGCUUCGAUUGUCAAUUUGUGUGAAAUAUUGUGUCAUGCACUGUUAUAGGCAGUUUAAAUACUACUUGUGUAAGCACGGUCCUUAAGAUCGCCUUCCUUAAUUCUUAUCAUGGAAGCGUUUUGAGUCAUAGCUGUGCAAAAGCAAUUUAAUUAUGGAGGUUUCCCAUUAGGGUUUUCCUUCUGGGUCCUCCUUUCCCCCACUUGAUUCGUAUAGUAAUGAGGCAUAGACCCUUUUUACCAUUGGAGCUGUUACUUUUAUCCUAUUAUUGUUGAUCUUAUGUAAAUGACUACGUGUCACCAUAAGAUUCAACUAAUAGGAGUUUGGCUCCUUUGGUGCACGACUAAUGUCUCAGCUAGCAAGUGGGAACACUUAGGCAAAUCUUUCUUAAUUUUGUUGGUUUGUACCUUGAUGACUUGUUUGGUGCUUUACUUUGUCUGCUUUAUUAGUUCUGUUUUAGUUAAGAAUACAAAAGACAAGGCAGAUGAAUCAAGUAGAUGUGUGGAAGGAGAAGUCCUUUCUGAUCUUAAAUUUUGAGGCAUAUUUAAUAUCUUAUAUGUUAAACUUUGUCUUGUACAUUUUUGGCACACUCCCAUCAACAGCAUCAUCAUACCCUACUCUACCCCUGGGGCCAUACUUUAAGCAGCACAAGCCACUCCUAUAUUCCAAACCAUCCAAAUUCAACUCUCUUUCAAUAAAUGGCCACAGAAGGAUCUGUGAUCUCUUUGAUUUGCAUCAGGAGCAAGUACCUUAUGAAGUGGCCUGGUCUUUGGCAAAAGGAGAUUGUCAGGGAAAAGAAGGCACAAAUUGAAAAGGAAGGAGAUUGCACUGACACCCUUAUUAUUCUACAACACUCUUCUGUUUAUACAUUAGCUAGUUAUGUACCCCAUUAUCAACCUUUGAAGACACAAGAUGGAUCUUCAUUGGUACCUUAGAACUCUUGAAGAGGUUGUUAUUCGUGUUCUUUCUUCAUCAUGUUCAAUUCAGGCUUCUAGGCUGGAAGGUUUAACUGGAGUUUGGGUUGGAAAUGAGAAACUGGCUGCUGUUGGUAUCAGAGUGUCUCACUGGAUAACCUAUCAUGGCUUAGCACUUAAUGUCACAACAAAUUUGUGUCUAUUUAAAUGGAUGGUCCCAUGUGGAAUACAUGGUCACGGUCAUCAAGUAAGCAUUAAGGGGUUGGUGAGAGAAGGCAAGCUAUGUAUUGAUCAUGGAACAGAUUUGCAUCAUCUGGAUGAUGCUAGUUUUAUUCAUAUUACACAUAAGUCCUUGAUUGAAGAGUUCUCACAAGCAUUUCAGCUUGAGUACUGUUACAAAAAUAUUUCUGCCGCCAUGUUGUAUGAAAGGAAACAUAGCUCUCUCACCAAAUAGACACAUCAAAGUUGUCUUUGUUUGAUAUAUAUAGCAAUUGUCUAUUCACUUUUUCCAGAUAAAGGGCAGAGAAAAUAUCAUCACUCUUGCAAUAGAAACACACUUUUGUACUUAUGUUCCAGAUUACCGAAUUAUGGUUCUUGUAUCUUGAUAAUGAUGAUUAGUUUUAUCUACGUUUAUUCUAAGCAA